UACGGGGGGGGCAAGCGUUGUUCGGAAUUACUGGGCGUAAAGGGCUCGUAGGUGGCCAAUUAAGUCAGGCGUGAAAUCCCCAGGCUCAACUUGGGAACUGCGUCUGAUACUGGUUGGCUUGAAUUCGGGAGAGGGAUGCAGAAUUCCAGGUGUAGCGGUGAAAUGCGUAGAUAUCUGGAGGAACACCGGUGGCGAAGGCGGCAUCCUGGACCGGCAUUGACGCUGAGGCGCGAAAGCUAGGGGAGCAAACGGG
rnacentral:rRNA from 1 species